rnacentral:rRNA from 1 species
AACGAACGCUGGCGGCAGGCUUAACACAUGCAAGUCGAGCGAAGUCUUCGGACUUAGUGGCGGACGGGUGAGUAACACGUGGGAACGUACCUUUUGGUUCGGAACAACUCAGGGAAACUUGAGCUAAUACCGGAUGAGCCCUUAGGGGGAAAGAUUUAUCGCCGAAAGAGCGGCCCGCGUUAGAUUAGCUAGUUGGUGAGGUAAAGGCUCACCAAGGCUACGAUAUAUAGCUGGUCUGAGAGGAUGAUCAGCCACACUGGGACUGAGACACGGCCCAGACUCCUACGGGAGGCAGCAGUGGGGAAUCUUGCGCAAUGGGCGAAAGCCUGACGCAGCCAUGCCGCGUGAAUGAUGAAGGUCUUAGGAUUGUAAAAUUCUUUUACCAGGGACGAUAAUGACGGUACCUGGAGAAAAAGCCCCGGCUAACUUCGUGCCAGCAGCCGCGGUAAUAC